AUCCGUACUUGGAAUAAACCACUCUGGGUUGUACACCAGAGCACGACUUUCUCCUCUAUCUUUUACUUACUAUGGGCGCUGCUUAGCAGAUGGGAACUAUACAGUAAAAAUUCACUUUGCAGAGAUAAUUAUCAGAGGCAAUAAAUCCUUUCAUAGCCUUGGCAGACAGAUUUUUAAUGUUUAUAUUCAGGGAAAGUUGGAAUAGGAGGAUUUUGAUAUUGUACAAGCAGCACAAGGGGUUGAAAAGGUAGUUGUAAAAGAAUUUAAAGCAGUUGUGAAAAAUAAAACUUUAGAGGUCCGCUUUCAUUGGGCUGGCAAGGGGACAACAGCUAUACCAAGCAGAGGAACUUAUGGUCCUCUCAUAUCAGCUAUUUCUGUGGAAUCUUGUUUUAAUGCAUGACUUCAUUAUAAGAUAUAAUGUCAUGGCACCUACGCUUGGACUAGUCUCUUAUUUACCCAUAUUGGAGACAUACUUCAUUAAUAACCUAGCAAGGUAUUAAGUUGUUCUUGCAUUACCUCAUUUGCAAUUUAUUUUUUUAAUAAUUGGUGUAUUUUUUUCACGCUAACGAAAACCAUAGUAAGGAGGUUGCAACUGGAACUCAAGUCUCGCAUUGAGGAGUUUGAGAAGCUUGACAAAUUCCAUAUGGAACAAAUGGAAGAAGAGGUUACCGCAAGAAAUGCCCACAUACAUCAACAAAAAGUUGGUAGCUUGGAAUGUUUCAUGGUAGCUAAGAGCAGUGCAGAAGAAUUUUCAAAAACUGACAUUGUUGAAGCAUGGACACAUUGAAGAGACAUCUUCCUAUUUCUGGACCAGAGGGACUUAAUGAGCUAAGGAAAAUUGUUGAAAGGUUUGAGGAAAAGAUUUAUUCUACUGCCACAAGCCAGAUGUUGACAAUGGAAACAAAAUCUUUUAAUGCUACAACCAAUUCUCUACCAUCCAACUCUGCUGGUCACAACAAAAAAUCCCCUAAUGACAAGAAAUGCCCUGCUAGGAAAAAGGCCCUCAGAUCCAGGUAACAACAUGAAGAAGUAAUGUGUUUUUUUUUAUGAAAUGCAACAAUCAAAAUUUUGCUUCUAUGAAUUGCAACAGUGGAAA